rfam:Schistosoma curassoni strain Dakar, Senegal genome assembly, scaffold: SCTD_contig0011684
CUACUUCUGAGGAGUCUAAUACUAGGACGAAACGGCUGUCCAGUAC